GAAAUGCGAUACGUAGUGUGAAUUGCAGAAUUCAGUGAAUCAUCGAAUCUUUGAACGCACAUUGCGCCCUUUGGUAUUCCAAAGGGCAUGCCUGUUCGAGCGUCAUUUGUACCCUCAAGCUUUGCUUGGUGUUGGGCGUCUUUUUGUCUCUCCCCUUGUUGGGGGAGACUCGCCUUAAAACGAUUGGCAGCCGACCUACUGGUUUUCGGAGCGCAGCACAAAUUUGCGCCUUCCAAUCCACGGGGCGGCAUCCAGCAAGCCUUUGUUUUCUAUAACAAAUCCACAUUUUGACCUCGGAUCAGGUAGGGAUACCCGCUGAACUUAA
rnacentral:misc_RNA from 1 species